GGGGGGAGGCCGGAUCCUGGGCUGUGUCCCGGCGCCCUGUGCUCCGGAGUCUGCGCCGUUGGAUUCGCGCUCCCGGGCCGCGCAACCCCCU
rnacentral:pre_miRNA from 1 species